rnacentral:misc_RNA from 1 species
GAUGAAGAACGUAGCGAAAUGCGAUACGUAAUGUGAAUUGCAGAAUUCAGUGAAUCAUCGAGUCUUUGAACGCACAUUGCGCCCCCUGGUAUUCCGGGGGGCAUGCCUGUCCGAGCGUCAUUGCUGCCCUCAAGCACGGCUUGUGUGUUGGGCCUCCGUCCUCCUCCCGGGGGACGGGCACGAAAGGCAGCGGCGGCACCGCGUCCGGUCCUCGAGCGUAUGGGGCUUCGUCACCCGCUCUUGUAGGCCCGGCCGGCGCUUGCCGACACAUCAAUCUUUUUUCCAGGUUGACCUCGGAUCAGGUAGGGAUACCCGCUGAACUUAAGCAUAUCAAUAAGCGGAGGA